AGACUCCUACGGGAGGCAGCAGUAGGGAAUCUUCCGCAAUGGACGAAAGUCUGACGGAGCAACGCCGCGUGAGUGAUGAAGGCCUUCGGGUCGUAAAGCUCUGUUGUUAGGGAAGAACAAGUACCGUUCAAAUAGGGCGGUACCAUGACGGUACCUAACCAGAAAGCCACGGCUAACUACGUGCCAGCAGCCGCGGUAAUACGUAGGUGGCAAGCGUUGUCCGGAAUUAUUGGGCGUAAAGGGCUCGCAGGCGGUUCCUUAAGUCUGAUGUGAAAGCCCACGGCUCAACCGUGGAGGGUCAUUGGAAACUGGGGAACUUGAGUACAGAAGAGGAGAGUGGAAUUCCACGUGUAGCGGUGAAAUGCGUAGAGAUGUGGAGGAACACCAGUGGCGAAGGCGACUCUCUGGUCUGUAACUGACGCUGAGGAGCGAAAGCGUGGGGAGCGAACAGGAUUAGAUACCCUGGUAGUCCACGCCGUAAACGAUGAGUGCUAAGUGUUAGAGGGUUUCCGCCCUUUAGUGCUGCAGCAAACGCAUUAAGCACUCCGCCUGGGGAGUACGGUCGCAAGACUGAAACUCAAAGGAAUUGACGGGGGCCCGCACAAGCGGUGGAGCAUGUGGUUUAAUUCGAAGCAACGCGAAGAACCUUACCAGGUCUUGACAUCCCAUGACAACUCUAGAGAUAGAGCGUUCCCCUUCGGGGGACAUGGUGACAGGUGGUGCAUGGUUGUCGUCAGCUCGUGUCGUGAGAUGUUGGGUUAAGUCCCGCAACGAGCGCAACCCUUGAUCUUAGUUGCCAGCAUUUAGUUGGGCACUCUAAGGUGACUGCCGGUGACAAACCGGAGGAAGGUGGGGAUGACGUCAAAUCAUCAUGCCCCUUAUGACCUGGGCUACACACGUGCUACAAUGGAUGGUACAAAGGGCUGCGAGACUGCGAAGUUAAGCGAAUCCCAUAAAACCAUUCUCAGUUCGGAUUGCAGGCUGCAACUCGCCUGCAUGAAGCUGGAAUCGCUAGUAAUCGUGGAUCAGCAUGCCACGGUGAAUACGUUCCCGGGCCUUGUACACACCGCCCGUCACACCACGAGAGUUUGUAACACCCGAAGUCGGUGGAGUAACCGUAAGGAGCUAGCCG
rnacentral:rRNA from 2 species